GGCCGUCGUCAGUUCGUACUGUGAAGCAUCCUGUUAAGUCAGGCAACGAGCGAGACCCACGCCCACAGUUGCCAGCGUACUCUCUGGAGUGACGGGUACACGUGUGGGGACCGCCGCUGCUAAAGCGGAGGAAGGAAUGGGCAACGGUAGGUCAGUAUGCCCCGAAUAUCCCGGGCUACACGCGAGCUACAAUGGUUGGUACAAUGGGUAUCUACCCCGAAAGGGGACGGGAAUCUCCUAAAACCAAUCUUAGUUCGGAUUGAGGGCUGCAACUCGCCCUCAUGAAGCUGGAAUCCGUAGUAAUCGCGUUUCAACAGAACGCGGUGAAUACGUCCCUGCUCCUU
rnacentral:rRNA from 1 species